UCCGGCUUAUCACCGGCAGUCCCACUAGAGUGCCCAACUUAAUGCUGGCAACUAAUGGCGAGGGUUGCGCUCGUUGCGGGACUUAACCCAACAUCUCACGACACGAGCUGACGACAGCCAUGCACCACCUGUGAUCGUGCCCCGAAGGGAGGGUGUGUUUCCACACCUGUCACGAACAUGUCAAGCCCUGGUAAGGUUCUUCGCGUUGCAUCGAAUUAAGCCACAUGCUCCACCGCUUGUGCGGGCCCCCGCCAAUUCCUUUGAGUUUUAAUCUUGCGACCGUACUCCCCAGGCGGUGUGCUUAACGCGUUAGCUGCGCCACCGAGACACUAAGUGCCCCAACGGCUAGCACACAUCGUUUACGGCGUGGACUAC
rnacentral:misc_RNA from 1 species